GCUGGUACAAAUUGAUAGACUUGACUUUUUUCCCCAUCAGAUCGACAGUGUUGAUGGCUCUGAAUACUUGCCAGUUAGUUCUGAUAAGACCAGC
rnacentral:snoRNA from 1 species